UUUUGAGUAGAUUAUUACUGAGUUAAUUUGAGUUAAUGUCAUUCAGCUCAUGUGAGUUUUGCAUCAGAGGAAAGAUGAUAAGCAAAACUACAUGUGUUUGAUGACCUGACUACAGCUGUAGAUGUAGUGCAUUGUAUUGUGCUGUGACACACCUGUUUGUAUGUGAGUGAAGAACAAUGGUACCUUUAGUUUUUUUGGUUUUUUUUUUACAUAUUCCGUAAUGCCAUGAAAUGUGAUGUACACGUACACGUAGUAAACAAUUUGUGCAAAAGCUUUGGGAUCUUGUUUGGCUGUCCGAACUCUGAGUGUAGUAUCAAAACAUUACACUGAUUUAAAAUAAAUAUUCCAACAAUUAGGUAUUUGAUUAUACAGGUUCCAACCAUUUUUUGUUUUGUAAAAUAUGCAUUUGAUUGUCUUUGUUUUCUGAAAUUUUCUCUGUGUUUAAGAUUUAAUAGUUAUCGUAUCAAGGUGUUCACUGAAUCAGUGCUCUUUGUUGUUUUGCCAAAUUUUUUGUUAUAUAUAUUUAUUGUAGGAAUGUUUCCCCGUAAAAAGUAUCAUAAAUGUGCUUACAUGUAAACAGGGAUUGUGGGAAAUGACAUAUUUAAGAAGUUGAGUCAAUAUUGCAUGGGCACUGUUUGAUGUCAAUAAAAGUCACAGAAAACAGUU
rnacentral:misc_RNA from 1 species